GCCGGGCGCGGUGGCUCAAGCCUGUAAUCCCAGCUACUUGGGAGGCGGAGGCAGGCGAAUCACUUGAACCAGGAAGGUGGAGGUUGCAGUGACCUGAGACUGCACCACUGCACNGUGCAGUGGUGCAGUCUCAGGUCACUGCAACCUCCACCUUCCUGGUUCAAGUGAUUCGCCUGCCUCCG
rfam:Chlorocebus sabaeus isolate 1994-021 chromosome 9, whole genome shotgun sequence.